UACGAAGGGGGCUAGCGUUGCUCGGAAUUACUGGGCGUAAAGGGCGCGUAGGCGGACAGUUAAGUCAGAGGUGAAAGCCCAGGGCUCAACCCUGGAAUAGCCUUUGAUACGGGCUGUCUUGAGUGCGGGAGAGGUGUGUGGAACUCCGAGUGUAGAGGUGAAAUUCGUAGAUAUUCGGAAGAACACCAGUGGCGAAGGCGACACACUGGCCCGUAACUGACGCUGAGGCGCGAAAGCGUGGGGAGCAAACAGG
rnacentral:rRNA from 1 species